AGUAGAUGGGAGGCUGAAAUCUUUCCGGUGACUCGAUUUCGAUUUAUCUGGAAGACAGGAGGAUCUGUGAGAGAGAGAGAGAGAGAGAGAGAGAGAGAUGGAACUGUCGAGCAAGAAAGGGGAGGAAGAAGACGUCGGAGGGUACAACAGCGGCAACGUUAAGAAGGCGAGGCUGCAGUCGACGCUGGCGGCUCUCCUAGACGACCCAGUACUCGCCGACGUCCCCAAGAAACCUUCCUUGUCCGACGUCGACACCCUCCUUAACUUAGAACUCGGCAGCGCCAUGCGCAUCUUCGUCCUCAAAUUGGACAACACUUCCUUCGAUGUGGCAGUGUUAAAUUCUGCUACGGUCAAGGAUUUGAAGCUGGCAAUCAAGAAGAAAAUUAACGAAGUGGAGCAAUCCAAGAUGGGUCAUCGCCAUAUUUCUUGGAAACAUGUAUGGGAAAAUUAUUGUCUAUCAUACCAUAAUGAAAAGCUCCUCCAUGAUGCAUCUGGACUUCAAGAUUUUGGGAUACGUAACAAUUCUCAGGUAGUUAAUUGCCUUUUAUUUUAUUGAAUUUGUUCUAAACUUUUUACAUUCUGAAAACAGCAAAAUUAUGAAUCUUAUUUGAUAGACUUUUUAAAAGAUAUAUCAUUUUGGAAUUCUAUUUUUUAAAACUAAACAGGAUGCCUAUCCAGGUGCAUUUCAGUCCCUGCAUAAGGUCUAGGGGAUCUCAGAGACAUACCAAGGGGAGAAAACACCGGUUCUUUCAUGGCCUGAACAAAUGUGCUUAAACAACCAACAACUGCUUCUCCGUACUACUGUUGCUAGAUAUGCGGAGGAAGCACAAAAUGAGCAAGAGAAGAAGAUGAAUCCAGGAAUCUCCUUUGCCAUUUUGAUUUUCUUGUUUAUAGUUCUUGGGGUCAUACGAUCCUGCAUUGUAUGUGCAGGAUCCAUUGUUCUUUGCAGUGUAAGAGAAAUGGAGAAUGAACCAGCAAUUUAUUGUUUGCAACGCUGCUUUCCAAUCAAGCAGCGAACAUGGCAGGCUUCUCUUGUAGAUUGGCAAGUAACUUCUGUCAAAGAGCACAGCUGCAUUACAUGCACAAGAUGAUAUGAGAAACCAGAAUUUCAAACUUAAAGAUUAAAGCAUUUAGAGGGGAAAGCCUUCAAGAUCAUGCAUUCUGAAAAUCUAACAAUGAUAUGAAAAGCAGAAACAGAGGCAAACCAUAACCUGUAUACAACAUCCAAAAUACAGAAUUUGAAGGGCAAAUUCGAAACAGAUACAUUUUAUGCAUUGCACAUUUUGAUAUGCAUUUUAUAUGUAUACAGAUUGUUCAAAACUUAAUUCAGAAACACAACAUGGAGGCUGGACCAUUCUCUCCUUGUUUGCACUGUUCAGUCGCCCUAAUGGUCAUUUUGCUCUUCUUUAGGGGCCACUCUCAGCUUAAUCCUCUCCUUGUACUCCUCUAGUUCUUUCUUGUAUCUUUCCUUAUCCUUCAUCCCAAUGUCCUGGUACACCUACAUGAGAAUAAGUAUGCCAAUUAUGAGCUCAGAAAGGCCAAAUCCUUACUAAGAUCCCAACAACAAACCAUUCAUUUCAUCGAAAUACAGGAGACAUGUUCAGUUCACCAAUAGAUGUCUGCAAAAUGAUUCUCUAAGUUUUGGCAUUCUUGUCAUUUUCAGACAAAAGGUGAAAGAUGAUAUUUGUUGAAUAAUAAACAGAGGGGCAGGUAAGGGGAUGACAUGGAGAGUUCAGUAGUUCAGUUCGGCUUUUCUUUAGUCAUUGUACUUACCAUUCUCUCUUCUUGGCUGAGAUUGUUCCAUGACUGUCCAAUCAUUUUGGUGAACUCCCUUUCCCUAUCUGGGAACUGAGCCUUGAGCACAGAAUGCUUUUCUGCAAAGAAGAAAUUAUAGCCACUCCGGUUGGGUUUAGGGCGAUCUGGGUCUCCUCCCCUUCUUCUACUCCUCCGAGCAGUGCGGCGAGCCUUGGGGGGGUACGGGACAAUGGCAGAGCAAGCUUGGACAGCCGACGCAGAAGAGACAGGUUGCUCCGGAUGAUAGAGUACCCCAUUGAGAACCUCAGAACCCAAUUUCACACACACCAAAUACCCACAAUCAAAUUUCCCAUCAAUUGUUCCAACCGCUGAUAAACCUGCUGAUCCUGCCAUGAGGAAAGAGUAGGGACAAAGUAAUCUUACAACUUAAAUAACUGCAGAUAAAAUAACAGUGAAGGCCUGCUCUAUGUAGCAUAUAAUAUUAUGAAGUGUAGCAAUCAAGGGCAUUGCCAUGCAUUUUAUUAGCAAAA